GGUGAUGCUUUGCAGUUCCAAGUUAAACGUAGCAUGUGGACAUCAUAUGUUGUAAGAGCCAUCAAGUUUUUAAAGAAGAAUUUUGCGGGAUGUCUGUCAUGGAGCGACGUUGGAGAGAGGGAAGACUGGUUGGUUAGAAGAAUAAC